GACGAACGCUGGCGGCGUGCUUAACACAUGCAAGUCGAACGGUAAGGCCCUUCGGGGUACACGAGUGGCGAACGGGUGAGUAACACGUGGGUGAUCUGCCCUGCACUUCGGGAUAAGCCUGGGAAACUGGGUCUAAUACCGGAUAGGACCACUGCCUGCAUGGGUGGUGGUGGAAAGCUUUUGCGGUGUGGGAUGGGCCCGCGGCCUAUCAGCUUGUUGGUGGGGUGAUGGCCUACCAAGGCGACGACGGGUAGCCGGCCGGCGAGGGGGACCGGCCACACUGGGACUGAGAUACGGCCCAGACUCCUACGGGAGGCAGCAGUGGGGAAUAUUGCACAAUGGGCGCAAGCCUGAUGCAGCGACGCCGCGUGAGGGAUGACGGCCUUCGGGUUGUAAACCUCUUUCAGCACCGACGAAGCGCAAGUGACGGUAGGUGCAGAAGAAGGACCGGCCAACUACGUGCCAGCAGCCGCCGUAA
rnacentral:rRNA from 1 species